UUUUGGACGAUGGGGGCAACCCUGAUCCAGCAAUGCCGCGUGAGUGAAGAAGGCCUUCGGGUUGUAAAGCUCUUUUGUCAGCGACCCCCCCACCGGCUCUAACACAGUCCGGGAAUGACGGUACCUGAAGAAUAAGCACCGGCUAACUACGUGCCAGCAGCCGCGGUAAUACGUAGGGUGCAAGCGUUAAUCGGAAUUACUGGGCGUAAAGCGUGCGCAGGCGGUUAUACAAGACAGGCGUGAAAUCCCCGGGCUUAACCUGGGAAUGCCGCCUGUGACUGUAUAGCUAGAGUGUGUCAGAGGGGGGUAGAAUUCCACGUGUAGCAGUGAAAUGCGUAGAUAUGUGGAGGAAUACCAAUGGCGAAGGCAGCCCCCUGGGAUAACACUGACGCUCAUGCACGAA
rnacentral:rRNA from 1 species